rnacentral:rRNA from 1 species
CGGGGUGAGUAACGCGUGGAUAACCUGCCUCACACUGGGGGAUAACAGUUAGAAAUGACUGCUAAUACCGCAUGAGCGCACAGUACCGCAUGGUACGGUGUGAAAAACUCCGGUGGUGUGAGAUGGAUCCGCGUCUGAUUAGCCAGUUGGCGGGGUAACGGCCCACCAAAGCGACGAUCAGUAGCCGGCCUGAGAGGGUGACCGGCCACAUUGGGACUGAGACACGGCCCAA